CUGUAUGCACAAUAUUUAUCUAUAAUAUUUGGACUUAAAUGGUAACAUUAUAAUCAACGAUGAAGUUCUAAAGAAAGUCUUAAGUACCUAUACAUCAAUUAUAAGUAAACGUGGUGGUUGGGAUUAAUUCUCAUUCACACCCCCCCAAACUUUUUUUUUAGAUUCAAAAAUCUAAAUUUAUAUUAAUUGCUAAAAUUUUAAAAG